GUGAAAUUGAGCUGUAAAUGAUUACAGCACGGUUUCCUCUCGUCUCCCGCAGCGCUCCGCUUUCUCAUGCACACGAAAUAAAGACUGAAGAAAUACAAUAAAGUUUCUGUUCACAAACAGUGAAGGGGUGAAGGGGUGAAGGAGUGAAGGUGAAGGGGUGAAGGUGAAGGAGUGAAGGUGAAGGGGUGAAGGGGUGAAGGUGAAGGAGUGAAGGUGAAGGGGUGAAGGAGUGAAAGGGUGAAGGAGUGAAAGGGUGAAGGGGUGAACGGGUGAAGGGGUGAAGAGGUGAAAGAGUGAAGGGGUGAAGGGGUGAAGGGGUGAAAGAGUGAAGGAGUGAAGGGGUGAAAGAGUGAAGGGGUGAAGGAGUGAAAGAGUGAAGGGGUGAAGGGGUGAAAGAAUGAAGGAGUGAAGGGGUGAAGGAGUGAAAGAGUGAAGGGGUGAAGGGGUGAAAG
ensembl:lncRNA